rnacentral:lncRNA from 10 species
GGUGACGCGUGCGCCGGCCGGCCGCCGAGGGGCUACCGUUCUGCCUCCGACCGGUCGUGUAAAUACUAGGCUUUAGAAUUUCACCAUAUGAAUUUUGGGAGAGAGGAGCACAGUUCAGCCCAUAACUAACACACGUGAUGAAGAAGACAUGCCAACAGAGGGUUAAUUCCAGAUAAAAUGAAAUGUUCCAAACAGUACGUUUGGUUAUUUGAUUCAUCUGUGGGGGAAGGAAAGAUAAUUUUCCAAAGGACAUUCCUCCUAAAUUCUGUCUUAAAGUUGUUUACGGAAUGAAGUUGAUAAUAGUGAGACCUUGUUGGUACAAGACUAUGUAACAUAACCUGCGCUUCUCAACAAAGAAUUGCUUUUCUGACUUCUGCACUCAACUACUCAACAUGAAGGCAAUAAGAAUGAAGACCUCUAUGUAUAAUAAUUGACUUCCACUUAAUAAAUAAGGUUACUUGGUACACUGGUCGACAAAACCUUGAAAUGUUGAUGUUUAAGGGCUGUUGAUUGCUGGCAGCAAAGAAGUCCAACUGUGCUGGUACCCGAGAUAGCGUCUCCACAUUUUCUUCCAGGAUCAUCACCUUUGUUCUAAAUAGCUCCCACAUAGUGUGAACAGAAGUCAUAUGUUUUAGAUUUUCUGCCUUGGCACCC